UACAGAGGGGGCAAGUGUUGUUCGGAAUUACUGGGCGUAAAGGGCGCGUAGGCGGCCAACUAAGUCGGACGUGAAAUCCCCGGGCUCAACCCGGGAACUGCGUCCGAUACUGGAUGGCUUGAAUCCGGGAGAGGGAUGUGGAAUUCCAGGUGUAGCGGUGAAAUGCGUAGAUAUCUGGAGGAACACCGGUGGCGAAGGCGGCAUCCUGGACCGGUAUUGACGCUGAGGCGCGAAAGCCAGGGGAGCAAACGGG
rnacentral:rRNA from 1 species